rnacentral:rRNA from 1 species
AUGGAGGAGCCACAGAGGUUUGCAGAAUAUGUUUCUAGGUUGGUCCUUGAGAGGGAGACUGAAGCAAACUCCAACAUGUUUCAGGCAUCAUUGAAGACUUUCUUGUCGCCGUCCCUCCCCGGUGAUCUUGAGGGACAAAUCAGGGUCAGCUAUAAAAUCAAGAAGAAGACAGUGAGGAGUGAUGGGUCUGCAGGCAAAUGGUGUUGUGAAGAAACUGGAGAAGGACGAGUCGCUGGACUGGGACAGGACAAGUACAUCAAGGAGAACAACAAAAUGCUUAGAGGAUUCAUUGUCUGCUUGGAUUCCUUUCUGUCUUUGCUCAUCAUUAUGCCUGCAAGAAUUGUGAUGACUGCUUGGCGAGUUGAAAACUAG